CUCUUCCUCUACUGCUCUACAUGCGAGCAACCAGAAGUUAAGCAUUAAUUUCUCUCUCCUCUUCAACCUUCAACAAGUUUCACUCUUCACAAAAAAAGAGGGAGUCUCAGUAGAAAACCCUAAAACCGGCAACGAUGAAGAAGCUUUUGGUGCAAAUCUGCGAUCCAAAGAAGAAAAUAAUCGAGAAAUUGAAGAACCGCAACCGACACCUUCUUUCCACGCUUUUAAUCCAAGGUAUAGGACAGAUAAGUCGAAAAGGAUUGCGGCAGAAGUACGACUUGUCCUUAGGAUUCAAAGUCGGAUUGCUGAACAUAUUAGAAGUCUUGAGGAAUAGGGAAUUAUUCAGGUUGAAGAGCUUGUCUGAAUGAGCGCAAUGGUUUAGGAUUUGUCGAAUUUACACAAGGUAAGGUAAUGAUUCAACUCAAGCUUUGUAAUGCUUCCCUUGUCAUAGGUUGAUAACAUGGAACUUGAACUCCAGUCUUAAGCUGGAGGCUUGUGCUAUCUGACAUCUAUGUGAAUGAUCUUUUACUGGUUUCCUGUCUACACACUGACCAUAAUAUUAUUUUUAUCUUUUGCCUUCCACCGACCAGCUGGGCUUGGCUAAUCCUCCUGUUGCGGCCACCAUUUUCUUUGGAGCUAAUGACGCGGCUUUGCUUGGGAGGAAUAGUGAACGGCAACAUGUUCCUAUUGAGGAAUACAAAGAGAACCUUAGAAAGAUUGUUCUGCACUUGAAGAAAUGCUCCCCCACCAUGUUAGUGGUGCUUAUAUCUCCCCCACCUAUUGACGAGCAAGGCCGCAUGGAAUAUGCACAGUAAGUCUACUCUUCUUAUACAUGUCCGUGGUCUUUUAUAAGAUACACUUGUAUCAUUCUUUAUAAAUCUUUGUAGGUGGACCUUGUUUCAUGCGAUAACAGAAAGUAUACAUUAAGCAGAUUAGCCAUGAUUCAUGAAUGAUGUCAUCUUACGUUAGCAGAAUGGUAGUUGUAGAUUAAUUAUCAGAAGUAGGGGCAUUCCUUUACUUACAUAUAUAGAUAGCUUUUCUGGUGCAAUUUUGGUGAAAGAGGUUUUAAUUUUCCUAGAGGAUAUUAGUUUCUAGAAGAAAAAGAAUCCCAUAGAGGUCUACUGCCAUAAAUCAUGUUUUGAAACUUCUUUCAAAGGUCUAUGUGAUAUAGUCGUUGU